GAUCAUCUGAACUCAUAUUUUUGGAAACUUAUUAAGGUGUAUGGAUGGGGCAGAGAACCUAGACAGGUGGAGAGGAAGAUAUUAGCUAUUUCCCAGCAUUUUGCCAACUAGUCUCAGCAGCCUUGCAGUGAAGACGUACAGGAUCCCACUUCUACUGACAGGGUUAUGGAUAUCUGUCAUCUAAUUCUUCAAGGUUGAUCUUAGUCUCAGAUACCACUAACGUACAGAGCUCCUAAUACAAAAGUGAACAUGGACUAAGAAGAAAGACUACAAAGCCUGCAAUGGCCCAGAGGUGGGAAGAGGAGACGAGCACUUUCUCCAGGAGUGUGGCAAACCAGGUGCUGCCAGCAAUGAGCCGGAUCCCUUCCACCAGUUGCCAUCCCACAAGAGUACUUAUCUUUCUGGCGCUUGUGAAGAAAGCAAGCAUACAUGCCACAGCAGCACGUAGGUUGCUCUGUCAGGAUGGGGGGGGAUCCGACUUUCUGCCGUUUGUCAUAACAGCAGUGGCAGGAGAAGGAAAAUAAAACCAGCUUAUCAUCCUAGCACGCAUCCAGCCCCGGCAGCUGGGGGAAACAAAAGCGAAGAGAUGUAAGGCACAGGUGGAAGCACUGGAUGCGGCGUGUGCUCGGAGGAGCAAGGAGGUCACUGGAGCCCUGUGUGAUGGUGAGGAGAAAAGCCAGCGCCUACCUGGGUGCCACGGGCAGCUCUCCGUCCCCGUCUCCCCGCUGACAGCCGUCCCCGCCGUGAUGAAUGAGGUGCUUCGGGUCAUUCAUGGGCCCCGGUCCCCGGGGUGGGGCGGAUUUGGCCCCAAACCCCGCCUCGCAUCAUGUGAGCCGCUCGUGGCCAGGGCUUCCCAAAGCCAACUCCCUUUGCCCGCGUUCCUGCAAGCCUUCGUGAGCUUCUCCGCGUGCCGGGCGGCAAACGGCAGCCAGCCC
rnacentral:lncRNA from 1 species